CUCGAGGCUGUUUUGGAAACAA
rnacentral:siRNA from 1 species